AUAAUAUGGCGUCUGUACAGAUUGUGUUUCUUGUGUUAGUUUUUCUGGUGGGGGUGGGUUUGUGUCAAAAUAAUGCGACAGUCGCCCCUCCAGCAACUACUGCGGCCACUGCAUCAUCGUCUUCCUCUUCAUCCAUAUCGACGUCUUCUACUACAACUACGCAAUCGAUGUUUCAAAAUUUUAACUCGAUGCUAACUGCAGUUCCGAAGGGCUUCAUGGAAGCUUGUGAAUAUGGAAAGAAAGCCGUGGUAAAUGUAUUGGAAUCAAUACUUGCCCAGAAACAAAAGUUUUUAUCACAAUUAUAAUACGUUUUACUUAAAUGAAA